rnacentral:hammerhead_ribozyme from 1 species
AUCCAGCUGAUGAGUCUCAAAUAGGACAAAACAUACAUUCUGGAU